rnacentral:rRNA from 1 species
GAUGAACGCUGGCGGCGUGCCUAAUACAUGCAAGUCGAGCGAACGGACGAGAAGCUUGCUUUUCUGAUGUUAGCGGCGGACGGGUGAGUAACACGUGGAUAACCUACCUAUAAGACUGGGAUAACUUCGGGAAACCGGAGCUAAUACCGGAUAAUAUUUUGAACCGCAUGGUUCAAAAGUGAAAGGCGGUCUUGCUGUCACUUAUAGAUGGAUCCGCGCUGCAUUAGCUAGUUGGUAAGGUAACGGCUUACCAAGGCAACGAUGCAUAGCCGACCUGAGAGGGUGAUCGGCCACACUGGAACUGAGACACGGUCCAGACUCCUACGGGAGGCAGCAGUAGGGAAUCUUCCGCAAUGGGCGAAAGCCUGACGGAGCAACGCCGCGUGAGUGAUGAGGGUCUUCGGAUCGUAAAACUCUGUUAUUAGGGAAGAACAUAUGUGUAAGUAACUGUGCACAUCUUGACGGUACCUAAUCAGAAAGCCACGGCUAACUACGUG